CAAAACUUUAUUUGGAGGGGCUGCUGUAUGAGUGUCCUGCAUUCAUAAGCCACAUCCAACACCGAGGUCAGGGCACGUCAGAGAAACUGAGUCACAGAGCAGUUCCUUGCAAGGGCUACUUAUAUCAUCAGCCGUGGAGCUUGCAGUUCAGACACUGGCUCUGAAAGACUGAUCACUUUUUCUGAUAUUCUGGAGGACAGAGCACAUGGAAGUUAGAUCGUUUUGGAGUUCUCCGGAAGCCCAGUCUCUAGCAAUUCAGCCUUUGGAUCUGACUCGUCACCCUCCAUCCCAUUCUCCAAGGAAAGGGGAGGCUGCUGUUCCACUAUCUUUGGCAAAGGUGGAAACUGGGUGCUGAGAAGAGGCUGGCAAAUAGCUCACAGCUCAGAGGAAAGGUUUCUAAAGGGGUGGGGAGACUUCCAGUGGGGUCAGGUGUCUGGCCGUCACGAUAGGGGUAGGGCAGCUGCUUCCUCUAAGUGGGUGGGGAAAGUCAGCAAGCCAUGACUAAGCAGGGUCCUGAGCAAUUGCAGUGUGCCGCUGCUUCACAGAAAAGGAUCUGAGGGAAACGUGCCACCGGCCAAGGAAGGCCUCAGAGAGGAGGAAAUACCGAGGAAACACAAAGUGAAAAGGCGAGCUCUUCGUUCAAAAACCAAGACCUUCAAGACAUCACAUGCAGGUUAGCAGCUUAGGAGGGUGGGCCCGAUGCCUGGCUGCUUCAGGAACGGCAUGGGUCAGAUACAAGGACUUCUGUGCUAUUGGCAGCCCCACAUGUAUGCUCUCUCCUUUCCUUCCUGCCAGUUAAUCCACCACCCGCAACCCCAUUUAGGGAAGGAUG
rnacentral:lncRNA from 1 species